rnacentral:rRNA from 1 species
UAGGGAGUCUUCCACAAUGGGCGAAAGUCUGAUGGAGCAACGCCGCGUGAGUGAAGAAGGGUUUCGGCUCGUAAAACUCUGUUGUUAAAGAAGAACGUAUCUGAGAGUAACUGUUCAGGUAUUGACGGUAUUUAACCAGAAAGCCACGGCUAACUACGUGCCAA